CGGACGGGUGAGUAAUGCCUAGGAAAUUGCCCUGAUGUGGGGGAUAACCAUUGGAAACGAUGGCUAAUACCGCAUGAUGCCUACGGGCCAAAGAGGGGGACCUUCGGGCCUCUCGCGUCAGGAUAUGCCUAGGUGGGAUUAGCUAGUUGGUGAGGUAAGGGCUCACCAAGGCGACGAUCCCUAGCUGGUCUGAGAGGAUGAUCAGCCACACUGGAACUGAGACACGGUCCAGACUCCUACGGGAGGCAGCAGUGGGGAAUAUUGCACAAUGGGCGCAAGCCUGAUGCAGCCAUGCCGCGUGUGUGAAGAAGGCCUUCGGGUUGUAAAGCACUUUCAGUCGUGAGGAAGGUAGUGUAGUUAAUAGCUGCAUUAUUUGACGUUAGCGACAGAAGAAGCACCGGCUAACUCCGUGCCAGCAGCCGCGGUAAUACGGAGGGUGCGAGCGUUAAUCGGAAUUACUGGGCGUAAAGCGCAUGCAGGUGGUUUGUUAAGUCAGAUGUGAAAGCCCGGGGCUCAACCUCGGAAUUGCAUUUGAAACUGGCAGACUAGAGUACUGUAGAGGGGGGUAGAAUUUCAGGUGUAGCGGUGAAAUGCGUAGAGAUCUGAAGGAAUACCGGUGGCGAAGGCGGCCCCCUGGACAGAUACUGACACUCAGAUGCGAAAGCGUGGGGAGCAAACAGGAUUAGAUACCCUGGUAGUCCACGCCGUAAACGAUGUCUACUUGGAGGUUGUGGCCUUGAGCCGUGGCUUUCGGAGCUAACGCGUUAAGUAGACCGCCUGGGGAGUACGGUCGCAAGAUUAAAACUCAAAUGAAUUGACGGGGGCCCGCACAAGCGGUGGAGCAUGUGGUUUAAUUCGAUGCAACGCGAAGAACCUUACCUACUCUUGACAUCCAGAGAACUUUCCAGAGAUGGAUUGGUGCCUUCGGGAACUCUGAGACAGGUGCUGCAUGGCUGUCGUCAGCUCGUGUUGUGAAAUGUUGGGUUAAGUCCCGCAACGAGCGCAACCCUUAUCCUUGUUUGCCAGCGAGUAAUGUCGGGAACUCCAGGGAGACUGCCGGUGAUAAACCGGAGGAAGGUGGGGACGACGUCAAGUCAUCAUGGCCCUUACGAGUAGGGCUACACACGUGCUACAAUGGCGCAUACAGAGGGCAGCCAACUUGCGAAAGUGAGCGAAUCCCAAAAAGUGCGUCGUAGUCCGGAUUGGAGUCUGCAACUCGACUCCAUGAAGUCGGAAUCGCUAGUAAUC
rnacentral:rRNA from 1 species